GGACUACCCGGGUAUCUAAUCCUGUUUGAUCCCCACGCUUUCGCACCUCAGCGUCAGUUGUGUGCCAGAUAGCCGCCUUCGCCACCGGUGUUCCUCCUAAUAUCUACGAAUUUCACCUCUACAUUAGGAAUUCCGCUAUCCCCUCACACACUCCAGCCAUACAGUUUCAAAGGCAGUUCCGGGGUUGAGCCCCGGGAUUUCACCCCUGACUUGUAUGACCGCCUACGCGCGCUUUACGCCCAGUAAUUCCGAACAACGCUAGCACCCUUCGUAUUACCGCGGCUGCUGGCAC
rnacentral:rRNA from 1 species